rnacentral:rRNA from 1 species
UACGUAGGUGGCAAGCGUUGUCCGGAUUUACUGGGCGUAAAGGGCGUGCAGGCGGUUUGUUAAGUGCAGGGUGAAAGCUCCCGGCUCAACUGGGAGAGGUCCUUGCAUACUGGCAAACUCGAGGGAGGCAGAGGAAAGUGGAAUUCCCGGUGUAGCGGUGAAAUGCGCAGAUAUCAGGAGGAACACCGGUGGCGAAGGCGGGUCUCUGGGCCGGAACUGACGCUAAGGAGCGAAAGCGUGGGGAGCGAACAGG